rnacentral:misc_RNA from 1 species
UUUGGUGCGGCCACCGACAUGGGGCUGUCUCUUCACUCUCCCUCCUGUCAUUUAAUUUGUCGGGGCUGGGAUGCUUGUGAUCGGUUGCCUGUGUAGCACUACCCUGUUGUGGGUAGCGAACUUGUCCCUCGAUUGAUAUGUGCUUGCCUUUCUGACAUUUUUUGUCGUUUGGGCAGCCGAAAUGAUGGCAAGAUCCUUGUGUAGGUGCAUGGUCGAAUGGCCUUGUUGCUAUCGCUUGGAUUUUUGCCGCCUCUCACGAAUGCAGUGCCUAGUGCUAGCUCUGUGUGACUUUACUCCGCAGACUUCGGGAGGUCCCUUGUACGAAUCAUUGCGAUCGGAUGCCGUUUGUCGUGUUGCUUGUUUGGCACGCAAAUCGUAUUGUUCUGUCUGGAGUCGGGAUGAUGAAAGUCAGAAUGAAGUGUCUGGGGCAUGAGCGCGUACAU